rnacentral:rRNA from 1 species
ACGAAGGGUGCUAGCGUUGUUCGGAAUCACUGGGCGUAAAGGGUACGUAGGCGGUUUGGUAAGUCGAUUGUGAAAGCCCCGAGCUCAACUCGGGAACUGCAAUCGAAACUACUUUACUUGAGUUUGGUAGGGGAUGGCGGAAUUCCUAGUGUAGGGGUGAAAUCCGUAGAGAUUAGGAAGAACACCAGUGGCGAAGGCGGCCAUCUAUGCCAAUACUGACGCUGAGGUACGAAAGCGUGGGGAGCAAACAGG